AGAUGACCAGGAGAUGGUGGUAGCGGCCUCACAAGCAGAGGAACAACUUUCUCAAAAUAACUGGCACUUGGCAUGCGCCAGUCCCCAGUCAAAGAAAAAAUGAUAUUUAAAGGUGUAUGCACUGCUGCGCCAGUUCCAGCCCCAGCCCCUGCUCCUCCAGUGGUGUGGACUCCUGUGUCCCAGCCACCUGCAGAGCUGCCGAGACACUGGAAGGAGCAGCUUCCUUCAUUCCAGCAGGACUGGAUUAGGAAGGCUCUGUUCAGGGCCAACACAAAUACAGGGAAGCUGGAGUUGAUGCCCAAUCCUGUAUUCUGGUGGUAUCCUCCUCAGCCGCCGAAUGUCUUCACCCAGCCUCCUGCCUCUCCUGACGUCUUCUUCUGUCGCCCUCUGUUUCUCUGGAUGCCGCUGAAGAUGUGGUCCAUUC